rnacentral:lncRNA from 1 species
GUACACGGGCUCGCGUACCGGUACAACACCUGCGAAACAGCCAAACCCGAGCCUCGGGUUUGCACGAAAUUCGUCUGUGUACCGGUACACCAGCCCCGUACCGAUACAGCCAUCAGCGCGUACCGGUACAGCCAUCAACCCCGUACCGGUACACAGCCCUGCUGAGGCUACCCGAGAGCUGACCAAAAAUUCGACUUUUCGGAUUUUGGUGCUAGGUUUUAAACCUCCAAUCUCAGGGCUCG